rnacentral:rRNA from 1 species
UACGUAGGGUCCGAGCGUUAAUCGGAAUUACUGGGCGUAAAGCGUGCGCAGGCGGUUUUGUAAGCCAGAUGUGAAAUCCCCGGGCUUAACUUGGGAACUGCAUUUGGGACUGCAAGGCUGGAGUACGGCAGAGGGAGGUGGAAUUUCCUGUGUAGCGGUGAAAUGCGUAGAUAUAGGAAGGAACACCGGUGGCGAAGGCGGGUCUCUGGGCCGAUACUGACGCUGAGGAGCGAAAGCGUGGGGAGCGAACAGG